AGGUCAGUUUUGCAUUGGUUAAGAAUGCAUCAUUUCAGUAUUAAAAUCUUAAGUAUCAUUCCAGUAGUAAAAUCUAACAUUUUGUACCAGUCAAAACAUUAAGAAUUGAAUUAAAUUGGUAUAAGUAUGUAUUAGUCUUGAGAGAAGCAUGCAUUUAUCGCAUCUAACUACUUUGUUUGAAACUCAGAGCUAUGAGUAUAGGCCUUGAGUAGUUCUUUUCGGCCCAAAUUUACAACCUGAUUACAACCCCGUUUUACUUGAGAUAAACUUGACUAGUCUUGAACAAACCUUUGUAAUAUUAGUAACAAUACUCUCAAAUCUCCCAUAAGUAGUUCAUUAUUCUCAACUCUCAACCUCGGCCAUUAAUGCCAACUCCCUGGCCAUCAUUGCUAUAAGUCCAAUUUUAUCACUUCCAAUUCUAUCCUCUCACCUAAAUUUUAUAACAAAAUAUUUAAACAUAUUUAAUUUUAUAGCAAUAAACAACAAACCAUAAUAUUCAUACAUUAAUCCAUCAACAUAUUUAAUUUUAUAACAAAAUAUAAAUUGUAAGCUAAAUUAAAUUUCAAACAUUUAGAAACAAUUUAGCUGAUCCAACUACUUUUAUUUCUUUUUUCCUGAUCCAACUACCAGACUAUCUAUUAUGUAAGCUAGCUAUAUGCCUUACCCUUUGGAGGUGGGAUUCAGACCUGCAUACUUAUUUAAUAACCAAACAAUUUUACCAGCCAAAUUAAGAUCUUAUGACUUCCAUAACCAGCUUGAAAAGUUUACUAGGACAUUAAACCGUAAUUAGGUUUUUACUAGCUGCCUAAUGGUUUCAUAAUUUCAAUUUUUAUACUACUUUGAAAUAUAAAUCAAAAUAUUCUAAUGUCCAAGUACAGUAAUUAGCAAAGUACUGAUUCAGCAGCAGUCAAACUAUUCAUGGUUAAAAGAAAUUUAUAAAUUUAGGCAAUUCAUUACCUAUAGAUGUUCUGGCCUCUCGAGGGAUCCAUAUUCUGAAUUAAUAACUAUAAACAACUAUUAUAUAUAUAGAUAGCUAUGAAAGUUGUAACCUGGUACUAAUGCAAUUUCAAAAGCCCUUAGCAUCCAAUUAUAGCAGGCCAAUGAUACAUUGAACCACAUCAUAAGUGAAAGAUCUGAAAAUUUUGGUCUUCUAUGAAUGGGUCUACCAACAGUUAAUAGGAGUUUAAUAACCAGUUCCUAUAUGCCUGAUUGCCUAAGAAGUUCAUCUUUCAACCAUUGGUGUGACUUCAGCAUGUCAAGGCUGUGCAUAAAGAACUCAAGCCUUUUGCAUGUAGCUUAUCUGGUUGUGGGAUGAGAUUUUCAUACAAGCAUGUCAGAGAUAACCAUGAGAAAUCAGCGCUCCACGUUUAUGUUCCAGUAAGUUAUUUAGUUGUCAAUGAUUAAAUGCUAUUAUAAGCUUGUUUAUUUCGUCAUAGGUAUUUUUCGUGAUAGACAAAGAGUAAUGAUUGUAACGACUGUUUCCUAUUUAGGGGGACUUCAUAGAGUCGGAUGAGCAGUUUCAGUUAAGGCCAAGGGGUGGGCGUAAAAGAACAUGUCCCACUGUGGAAAUGCUUAUUCGAAAAAGAGUUGCUCCACCACAAAUGGAUACGAUGAUGGACCCAGGGCCUAUUCAGGGUUGCUCUUAACGGAUGAGGGCCAACACUGAGACUAAAUGGGUAAAUACAGUUCAGUUAACUUGUAUUUUUUAGGUUAAUAUAAUUUAUAGCAUAAAAUAUCAUAGGUUCUGCUUCUCUUUUCUUCUGUAAUAAACUAAAGUUAGUAAUGGAUGGGCAGAUGUAGUGUGACUACCAAGGUAGUAGUCAAAUAGCAGAAAUUAAACUCCCCUCCCCCUUGAAGAUUCAGUUUCUCAAAAUCAAAAUCAGAAAACCAUUAAUAACAAAAAUUAAAAUCACAAUCAAAAUCAAAAAGCAAAAAGUAAAAAACUACUUCGAAUUGGGUUAACAGGAAAUAGGGUUAACAGCAAACUCACCUUUGAAAUGAGAGGUUCAGAAGACGUAGAAGGCUAGAAGCACCGUUAAAGCGGAGGUGGAGUCGUAGAGGUGGAUUUCCGAAUUGGAUGGAGCUGUGGAGGACUGGAGGUGGAAUGGUGGAUCGGUGGAGGUGGAUUUUUGAUUUGGGGAAAAAAAUAGAGGAGUGAAGGGCUUAGGGAUUUAUCAGAUGCACGGGGAAAGGGGAAAUGGGAAAUGGGAAAU
rnacentral:lncRNA from 1 species